GAUGAACGCUGGCGGCGUGCCUAAUACAUGCAAGUCGAGCGAAGCGGGGACGGGUGAGUAACAUGUGGAUAACCUCCUAUAAGACUGGGAUAACUUCGGGAAACCGGAGUUAAACCGGAUACUUCUAGCAGGAUCUGAGCUGCAUUAGCUAGUUGGUAAGGUAACGGCUUACCAAGGCAACGAUCCAUAGCCGACCUGAGAGGAUGAUCGGCCACACGGGAACUGAGACACGGCCCAGACUCCUACGGGAGGCAGCAGUGGGGAAUCUUCCGCAAUGGGCGAAAGCCUGACGGAGCAACGCCGCGUGAAUGAAGAAGGUCUUCGGAUCGUAAAGCUCUGUUAUUAGGGAAGCGGUACCUACACAGAAAGCCACGGCUAACUACGUGCCAGCAGCCGCGGUAAUUC
rnacentral:rRNA from 1 species